rnacentral:tRNA from 1 species
UUCCUUUAGCUCAGUGGUUUAGAGUGUGGUACUGAUAACACCAAGGUUGCAGGUUUGAUCGCCAUAUGGGAAA